rnacentral:rRNA from 1 species
UACGGAAGGCAGCAGUGGGGAAUAUUGCACAAUGGGCGCAAGCCUGAUGCAGCCAUGCCGCGUGUAUGAAGAAGGCCUUCGGGUUGUAAAGUACUUUCAGUCGUGAGGAAGGUGUUAAGGUUAAUAACCUUAGCAAUUGACGUUAGCGACAGAAGAAGCACCGGCUAACUCCGUGCCAGCAGCCGCGGUAAUACGGAGGGUGCGAGCGUUAAUCGGAAUUACUGGGCGUAAAGGGCACGCAGGCGGUUAAUUAAGUUGGAUGUGAAAUCCCCGGGCUUAACCUGGGAAUGGCAUUCAAGACUGGUUAGCUAGAGUCUUGUAGAGGGGGUAGAAUUCCAUGUGUAGCGGUGAAAUGCGUAGAGAUGUGGAGGAAUACCGGUGGCGAAGGCGGCCCCUGGCAAAGACUGACGCUCAUGUGCGAAAGCUGGGGAGCAAACAGGAUUAGAUACC